rnacentral:tRNA from 2 species
ACUAAUAUGGCAGAUAAGUGCAAUGGAUUUAAGCUUCAUAAAUAAAGGAAUAUUCCUUUUAUUAGUA